GUACUAGUAGCUCAGCUUCAGAGCGUCGGUCUUGUAAACCGAAUGUCGAGGGUUAAAACCCCUCCUCGUACU
rnacentral:tRNA from 1 species